ACGAGUGGCGGACGGGUGAGUAAUGUCUGGGAAACUGCCCGAUGGAGGGGGAUAACUACUGGAAACGGUAGUUAAUACCGCAUAACGUCGCAAGACCAAAGAGGGGGACCUUAGGGCCUCUUGCCAUCGGAUGUGCCCAGAUGGGAUUAGCUAGUAGGUGGGGUAACGGCUCACCUAGGCGACGAUCCCUAGCUGGUCUGAGAGGAUGACCAGCCACACUGGAACUGAGACACGGUCCAG
rnacentral:rRNA from 1 species